UUUUCUUUUCUUUUCCUAAUCCAAUCUUCUUUGUGUCCUUUGUAGUAGGGACGUCACCUUGUGCUAUUGAAGGAUACUGAGAAGAAUUUUUUUCUUCAGAGAGAAGGAUACCGAGGAGAUAUUUGAUUCCAAUUGGUCUAAUUGUUGUCAGUGUUCCCCCUCAUGAUAACUCCCGCAUUCUUGAUGAAUUAAGCAUGGAAGGAUGGAAAAUCUGGAUGACGGCCAUAGUAUUGCAGAGUUCCAGUCAGAUCCUUGUUUUAUUAUUCGUCUUUUGUAGAUUGAAUUCAACUACAUUGAGACAGCACAUCAGCCGUGGCACAAUAACAAAUGGCAGCAGAGGGUUCCCACCUUGAUGAUUUUUCCGUGUAACCAAUCUAAAUAUUUAAGUGUUGUUAUAUUGGCAAAAUAAAGGCAAGUCAUCCAUAGCUUUGAAUUAUUCAAUUUCCGAUAUCUUCACGCUUCCUUGUUUCCUGCUAUUUGUAUGUAACCUUACAAAAUUAGGAUUUGGGAGAGAUUUCAUUUGCCCGUGACGGUAGUUGCUAUUUUUUUCAGGUUUGAGAGGAGCCAUUUGUGUGCAAUAGAUCUGAGAGUUGUGCCAUGGUUGUCAUUUUUGGAGGGCAAGUUUGUCUAACUUGAUAUGGGCAUGGAGCCAUCCCUGGGGAGCCAGUCAACCUGGUCCAGCGCAUUGUUGGUAGGCUCGGGGUUAUCUGGGCAUGGUAGACCGCCUCAAGGCCUUCAAGGGCUCCAUCGACCUCCAUUCAGUUCACACGGGUCGACACGAACUGACGGCGAUGAACCCCUAGCAGGGAUGGCGCGGGUAUGGCGGUCAGCAGCGGCAUGGGAGGUCAUCGGCCAGCAGGAGUGCGGUACGCUGGGGUAGCCCUUCCCGUUCAUAUACCAUAUGGUAUAGAUCAGCAAGCGAUCAGUGGCUCGAACGAUUUCUUAUGCCCACAGGUUUGUAAAGUGUCCCUUUUUUGUUUGUGCAUAGAAUUGAUCCGCCCGAAAUGUUUUACGACUUAAUAUUGUAAAAUUAGCGGCGAUUCUUUUCUAUUA